UUAUUAUGAGAGUUUGAUCCUGGCUCAGGACGAACGCUGGCGGCGUGCCUAAUACAUGCAAGUCGAACGCUUCUUUCCUCCCGAGUGCUUGCACUCAAUUGGAAAGAGGAGUGGCGGACGGGUGAGUAACACGUGGGUAACCUACCCAUCAGAGGGGGAUAACACUUGGAAACAGGUGCUAAUACCGCAUAACAGUUUAUGCCGCAUGGCAUAAGAGUGAAAGGCGCUUUCGGGUGUCGCUGAUGGAUGGACCCGCGGUGCAUUAGCUAGUUGG
rnacentral:rRNA from 1 species